rnacentral:rRNA from 1 species
GAAUUCGCCCUUAGAGUUUGAUCCUGGCUCAGAUUGAACGCUAGCGGCAGGCCUAACACAUGCAAGUCGAACGGGCAUAGCAAUAUGUCAGUGGCAGACGGGUGAGGAACACGUGGGAACAUGCCCUUUGGUUCGGAACAACUCAGGGAAACUUGAGCUAAUACCGGAUAAGCCCUUAUGGGGAAAGAUUUAUCGCCGAAGGAUUGGCCCGCGUCCUAUUAGCUUGUUGGUGAGGUAACGGCUCACCAAGGCGACGAUCGGUAGCUGGUCUGAGAGGAUGAUCAGCCACAUUGGGACUGAGACACGGCCCAGACUCCUACGGGAGGCAGCAGUAGGGAAUUUUCCACAAUGGACGAAAGUCUGAUGGAGCAACGCCGCGUGCAGGAUGAAUGCCUUCGGGUUGUAAACUGCUUUUAUAUGUGACGAAUAUGACGGUAGCAUAUGAAUAAGGAUCGGCUAACUCCGUGCCAGCAGCCGCGGUCAUACGGAGGAUCCAAGCGUUAUCCGGAAUUACUGGGCGUAAAGAGUUGCGUAGGCGGCAUAGUAAGCAGAUAGUGAAAGCGUGUGGCUCAACCAUACUCACAUUAUCUGAACUGCUAAGCUAGAGGAUGAGAGAGGUCACUGGAAUUCCUAGUGUAGGAGUGAAAUCCGUAGAUAUUAGGAGGAACACCAAUGGCGUAGGCAGGUGACUGGCUCAUUCCUGACGCUCAGGCACGAAAGCGUGGGUAGCAAACGGGAUUAGAUACCCCGGUAGUCCACGCCGUAAACGAUGGAUGCUAGCUGUUAGAGGUAUCGACCCCUCUAGUAGCGAAGCUAACGCGUUAAGCAUCCCGCCUGUGGAGUACGGUCGCAAGACUAAAACUCAAAGGAAUUGACGGAAGGGCGAAUUCACGGUCGCAAGACUAA